ACAGCCCACAAAUAUUUGGCCUGUAGCCUUUCAAAGAAAAUGACCCUUGAAGUGUGUUGUUGCUGAAGAAAAGAAUCAUCUCUCACAGAGCAGUUUGUCAAACAUGGGCCACUAUUUGGAAAAGCCUAUGAAUGUGGGAUUAAGCAGAAGUACAGAUAGGAAGAGAAUUUCUGUCUCUUGGAAGAACCAAAACAUUGUUGCCAAGACAUCACAGGGUCAUGUCAUGGCAGAGGAGAUGAUGGUAGAAGACAGAUGUGGGACAACAGGAAAGGAAAAAAGGCCAGCCCAACUGGGGAAACCUGAUGUGCUACGUGGGGGUGAAAAAUAGAGAUGGCCAUGAAGACUUUUAGGAGCAGAGGUGGCUUGUUCUUAAUCAUAUGUUGUUUGCAAACCUGAUUGAAAUCCCCUUCAUUUCAUUAAAACUUUAGUAAAA